rnacentral:lncRNA from 1 species
AAUUCCAUUCACAUUAAUUUUAAUGUGUGUGUACAUAUGUCACCCAGUCUUUUUUCCCCUUGGGUGAUUUUCAAAACUCUGCCAUAAAAACAAACAAAAACAAGGAAGGACAAGCCCAAACAGGUUGAGAAUCACCGGGGUACUGAUGAAAUUAGGCUUCCUUAUUGGCACUCUGAAUGCCUCCUGCUUCAGGAUACAUUUGUUUUCCCUCUUUCUCUUUCGUUUCUGCUGCCUGUGGAAAUGAAGAAUAUGUUAUCUCCUUGGAUACCUGAAGACGAUUGCGCCACUUCUCUGCCUUUUCUUCCUUACGUACAAUAAUCCACUUCAUCUUUCCUCCGAGGGCUAGUUUUCACCUCGCUGAUCAACAUCGGGAAAGCUCCGCUGAGCCAUGCAAAUCUCCUGGCAGAUAAUGGUCUUUAGCUAUUUGGCCGUUCUGUGUGCACUGGCCCUAUACCAUUUUUCCUUCUUGUCACUGCUCUUUUUCUUUCCUGUGAUCCUUUUCCUCAGUGUCUGCUUAAUUUCUUCCCAAGUAGUCUGAGAUAUUUGAAAGGCAUCAUAAAAGUCCUCAGCAGACAUCUUGCUCGUAUCUGGGAUUGUGCUUCAUCCUGGGAAAGCCUUACAGGGAGAUGGUGCUGCCUAAAGAGUGAUGAGUGAGUGGAGGAAGAAAGAGAAAGAAAAUACCAUGGAGAAAGAGAAGGACUCAGGAAAAAUAAAGAUUAAAAACAGAAAGAAAAAGCCAGAUACUCAGAAGAGAUUAGAGUUUUCAUCUGUAUUCAUCACAGACCGACACAAGCUGGAGGAGCCACACCUUGAGACAGAUGAAAACCUGACACUUAGAAGCUUUUUCCAGUGCCUCCUUAAACUCACCUGCAGUGCAAAGGGAAGUCUUCAGAGUCCCACACCGAUGUGCUUCUCCUGAUGGUAGUGGUUCUUCCAGUGUGGCCAGGGACCAGUGACAUGAGAGUUGCCUGAGAACUUGUCAGAAGUACAGAUUCCUGGGUCCCACCCAGACCUGCUGAGUCAGAAGCCCUGUGGAUGGAACCCAAUAAUUUGUG